rnacentral:rRNA from 1 species
AUUGACAGAUUGAUAGCUCUUUCAUGAUUUAGUGGUUGGUGGUGCAUGGCCGUUCUUAGUUCGUGGAUAUGAUUUGUCUGGUUGAUUCCGAUAACGAGCGAGACUUUUAUGUUAUAUUAAAUAAUAUUAUUAUUAAAUUUUAUGGUUUUAUAUAAUAUUUUAUUUUAAUAACAGAUUAAUAGUGUUUAACUAUUUGAGAGAGAGCAAUAACAGGUCUGUGAUGCCCUUAGAUGUCCGGGGCUGCACGCGCGCUACAAU